GGCGGACGGGUGAGUAACGCGUGGGUAACCUGCCUCAUACAGGGGGAUAACGAGUAGAAGGCUGCUAAUACCGCAUAAGCGCACAGUACCGCAUGGUACGUGUGAAAAACUCCGGUGGUAUGAGAUGGACCCGCGUCUGAUUAGCUAGUUGGUGGGGUAACGGCCCACCAAGGCGACGAUCAGUAGCCGACCUGAGAGGGUGACCGGCCACAUUGGGACUGAGACACGGCCCAG
rnacentral:rRNA from 1 species